UAUAUAUAUAUAUGUAUGUAUGUAUACAUUAAAUGUGCAAAAAUAUACAUAUUAAAUAUGUUAAAGGCACAUUAAAUACGUAAACGUAUACGUAUUAAACGCGUAAAACAUAUACAUAUUGUAUAAGUUUUGAGUAUUGGAAAAAGAGAAAAGAAAAAAAAGAAAAAAAAAAUAUGAAUUUUUAUUUAUAAUUAAUAAUGUCAUCGUCCAUUUUUGUUCUUCAUUUUUUAAACUCAGAGUAAUUAUUUUGUCAUUUUAUCAUUUUAACACAGUUGUUUUUUGCUAAUAUUACACAGUGGCUUUUUGUUAACACAGCACAAUUGUUCUUUGUUAUUUUAACGCAGUUGUCUUAGGUUACUUUUUUUUUAAUUUACAAAAAAAAAAAAAAAAAAAAAAAAAAAAAAGGAAAAGCACAACAAUAAAUGUUGUACAUUUUAAUCCAAAAUUUUUUUUUAUUUUCAACACAUUUAAUCUUUAAGCAUUUAUUAUGUAUUUAUUUUACAUAUGUAACAAACAUAUAUAUAUAUAUAUAUAUAUAUAUAUAUUUUUUUCUUUUGCUUCUGUUGUUUCGCUUAUAUUUUCUUCUUUUACUUCUAUUGCUUCUUUUAUAUUUUCUUCUUUUACUUCUGUUGCUUCGCUUAUAUUUUUUUCUUUUACUUCUGUUGCUUCGUUUAUAUUUUCUUCUUUUAAUUCGUUAUAUAUUUUACUAGUUUCAUCCAUAUUCACUUUAUUUAAAUCAAAUUUUAUUAUUUUAUUUUGUUCCGGAAAAAGAGCUAUAAAAGAAGGAUGUUUUUUUUUUUAUUUUUGACUAAUGUUGUUUUCUAGCAUGUUAU
rnacentral:lncRNA from 1 species